rnacentral:rRNA from 1 species
AGUAACGCGUGGGUAACCUGCCCUGUACAGGGGGAUAACAGUCAGAAAUGACUGCUAAUACCGCAUAAGACCACAGCACCGCAUGGUGCAGGGGUAAAAACUCCGGUGGUACAGGAUGGACCCGCGUCUGAUUAGCUGGUUGGUGAGGUAACAGCUCACCAAGGCGACGAUCAGUAGCUGGCUUGAGAGAGUGAACGGCCACAUUGGGACUGAGACACGGCCCAAACUCCUACGGGAGGCAGCAUG